ensembl:lncRNA
CAGGCUUUUCGAAUGUUCUCUUCAGCCAAUCUUUCUUAUGGCUUUCUUGGUCCCAGCAGAUGUGUUUCUAUUCUAGGUCCUUUACUCCGGCAUCAACCACUACUCACCAGCUGAACAGCCCUCCCUCAGGGGCUCCUCAUGCCUCCAGAAGCCCCAACAUAGACCUUGGGAGACCUACGAUAAUUCUACAUCAAAGCUCUCUUGCAAAUGGCCCACAGUCAAUGCUCAGCAUCAUAACCUGUUCCAGCAAAUUAGAUCACUUCCCUUUGAUCCCCUAUUUAGCCUCUCUUUAGUUUAUAGAUUUCCAAGCAUGAGUUGUAUCUGAGCCAUAGUCCAUUGUAACUUUCUCAAGCAUGAGCAAGAUACCCGUACUUUGUGUCUCCCUUAAGUCUCUUAUUUUCUUCAGGCAUUAAAAAGAGUGAACUAAUGUCAACUGCAGCAGCCUGGAUGGACCUAGAGAUUACCAUACUGAGUGAGCAUGUUGGAGUAUAUAAAAGUCUGAAGAGGCUCUUUAAAGAUACAAGAGAAGCAAUACUACCUUUAAAGUGAAUCUUCUCUGGGAGGAACACAAAGUAUUUUCAGUCAUGAUUUCUAAUUACAGUUUCAUGAAUGUACCUCUGACUUGUGAAAGAAAGCAAAAUAUUACCAGAAAUCUAUAAAGAAGAAAGAAGUCAGUUGCUGGCCUACUGAAGAUGGGAUGAAGCUGGAUCAUUUGGAAGUUCAUUUAGGAGGUUUUUGGAUUUUGUUUGUUUGUUUGUUUGUAAAAUCAUAUGAAUUAGAUUGGGGAUUAUUUUUGCUAUAGGUGCUAUCCUGGUGCUUUCCAGAUACUUUUACUAGCAGGCAAGCUGCUGCUCCUGCUGCUGCUAAGUUGCUUCAGUCGUGUCCGACUCUGUGCAACCCCAUAGACAGCAGCCCACCAGGCUCCCCC